CCUCCUCUGGACCCUCCUCUCCGGCCAGAGUCAGUACCACACCUAGAUGACAUCACCCUGCCACCCAUAGGAGCUCAGGCUUCUGCCCAUCUGAGGGCGUGCUGGCCAGGUGCCGGUGGCCACCUUGUGCGCAUGCUCGGUAGCUGCACAGUGCGCAUGCUCGGUAGCUGCACAAUGCAUCUUAGGCAGCGUCCUCUCUGACCCUUGUGCAAGACCAUCCUGGUAUUGGCGCUUAGGAAGGUGUAAGCAGCAGAGUCUGGUGUCCACAAAAAGAAAAAAAAAUGUUUUAGUAUAGUGAGAAGCAAAAGAGAAACAACUCCAAUUGUCCUUGAGCGACGAACUUCCAUGGCAGAACUUUAGGUCAGUCACAAACAGCUCCGUUUUGAAUACACGAAACCCUCCUUGUACCAACCGCCGCAUGUGUAUAUCCAGAUGUGUGGGUAUACAACUGUGGCGAUUCCGAAUUGCAUUUUUUUAUAACGCGAUACGCUGACAUAUUUUAGUGAAGGUCAGCAGUUUUCUAACUUGUGCCUAAGAAUUAUUGGGAAAUGAAAAUGCAUUUCUAUCUAGUUUCCUGGAAAUAUUUCUACCCAAAAUAGAGAAGAAAAGAAGGAAAGAAAGAAAGAAAAAAAAAGAAAAGGUAGAAGCAUGCCUAUCUGCCACCGAGUGAUCCCCUGCUUAACCUAAACACCAGCGAUUUGUAGAUGGUAACUGCCUUUGGAAAAAUAGCUUCUUAGUCCAACGUGACUGGGGUCACUGGUACCCCACUGCAGGAUUUAAUUAUGACUUCUCCUAUCCCAAGGAGGUGAAAUGUAGCGGGGUGGGGGUGGGGGGAACUGAGGAGUCAUAUAGUCUGGCCAAUGUUUUCCUCCUUAGUGAUUCAUUAUCUUGAAAACACCAGUUUUGCUCCGCCCCCCCCCCCAAUGGCAUCUUGGAAUCCAUCAUCAAGCUAGUAUUGCGUCCUCAGGAAAACAUGGGAGCAUGUGGCUUUUGCAGCGAGGAUGAGCCUGAACUUGGAGAAGAUCAAGACCAUGCAUGGCUCAUCUUCAUGACAGAGGAGUCUGGUAGGGCCACCAUGGCUCCCAUCACGGCCUCUCAUAGGCAACACCCCCAUUUUCAGUUUGGUUCUAUGACUCGACCCCAUCACCACACAACAAGAUGGCUCAGGGGUUCCAGUCAAGGCUUCCAGAAACCAGCCUUUCUCUCUUGGGGAAAGGAGGGAAGCCAGUUCUAAAGGUGCUAGAUCAUGUCCCUUCUGCUGGAGGGUCACCAGGGCUGCACCUGGUAGUAGUCCCAUCUUAGCCCCAGAAGGCUCUCCCAGACAAGGGAACGCAGUGAAACGGCCAGCCGGCAUCCAUCAGCCACUGGACUGGCCUUUGACUCUAACACGGUAGAAAUUAGACCACGAAAGGUAUUCAUGUAGUGCUAUGGAAGAUUAGAGGCAUGAUCCACAAAGGAGAAGUAGUUUUAACAGUCAACACAGUGCCGAUAACGAUACCUUUGUUUCCUGUAUAUGACAAGAGACCCUUCACUUUCUAAGCAUGGGCCUGCCUGUCUUUGAGCAUGCCCAAGAUGACAAGAGCAAUGGAGCCAAGCAGAAAUGGCCUGGGCAUGGUGACAGCUUCUCCAAGGAUACACAUAACUGACUCAGAGGCAAAUGUGGUCUGUAUCCCUUCUAUGGCUCUGAGUUGGGCGUCCUUGGCCUCGGAUGCAUCUGACUGUAGCCAGCUUCCAUGGGUCUUGCCCAUUCUGGAGACACACACGGUAGAUACACAGAGAAGAAACAGGUCUUUUCCCUUUGGCUCUGCAUGAUACUGGGAUACUGAGCUGGGCAUUCCAUAAUAGUAGCCCAUGCCAUGUCAGUUACACACACACACACACAAAUAUUUAUUCUUUUAGCAGGCACAACCUGCAGGUAUAAGUUUGGUUGGCCACUUAGCUCUCCAAGUUAGGACCCGCCUCCACAGCUGUACCUGCUGAGGGCAGGUACUCAGCAAUACAGAGUUCGAUGUGAUUAUAGAAUGUGGUGCAGUAUGUUAGGCUGUUGUGGUCAAAGUGGUAGCAAUGUUAGAUCUAUGUACCCUCAUUAGGUGGACUAGAGCUUUGCCCUAAUCAGCCUCGACCCUGGGCACUUGAAUAAAUCUCCCCAUGGCCCUGGCUUCGUUUCUCCAUCACAGACACCCAUCACAUAUGGUACCCCACUUGAAUUAAGUUCUGAGAUCCAGGUGGCCAGAGCUGCUAUGAUUCCUCUGCCUCCAUGCUGCUAUGAUCCGGACCUCUCGGCAUGGAAACCCGAGUCUGUCUCCCUUCCCAGGCUGGGGAACUGCGCCCUCCCCUCCUGCCACAGACAGACCUGCCAAACAGCUCUGUUCUUCAUGGAGUCAGGAGGUCCUGCUGGCCUGCAGCAACUCAGUUGCCUUGGGCUGGGACUGCAUUCUUGUGAUGUCUGGAUGGGUUUGGGGCUGGAGGUCAGGUACUCUGGGAUUAGCUGAAGGGGGCACAGUGUUCUUUGUCCUGCCCCUCCGGUUAACUGUGCUCCAUAUUUGUGUUGAACUCUAAAAGCAUAUUAAAGUGAACCUGAGGG
rnacentral:lncRNA from 1 species